rnacentral:rRNA from 1 species
AUUGAACGCUGGCGGCAUGCCUUACACAUGCAAGUCGAACGGCAGCACGGGAGCAAUCCUGGUGGCGAGUGGCGAACGGGUGAGUAACGUAUCGGAACGUGCCCAGUCGCGGGGGAUAACGUAGCGAAAGUCACGCCAAUACCGCAUACGAUCUAUGGAUGAAAGCGGGGGCACGCAAGACCUCGCGCGAUUGGAGCGGCCGAUAGCAGAAUAGGUAGUUGGUGGGGUAAAGGCUCACCAAGCCGACGGUCUGUAGCUGGCCUGAGAAGACGACCAGCCACACGGGGACUGAGACACGGCCCAGACUCCUACGGGAGGCAGCAGUGGGGAAUUUUGGACAAUGGGCGAAAGCCUGAUCCAGCCAUGCCGCGUGCAGGAUGAAGGCCUUCUGGUUGUAAACUGCUUUUGUACUGAACGAAAAGGUUUGGGCUAAUAAGCUGAGCUCAUGACGGUACCGUAAGAAUAAGCACCGGCUAACUACGUGCCAGCCGCCGCCGUAA